rnacentral:misc_RNA from 1 species
UUUCCGUAGGUGAACCUGCGGAGGGAUCAUUACCGAGUGAAGGACCUCUGGGUCCAAACUCCCACCCGUGUUUAUCGUACCUUGUUGCUUCGGCGGGCCCGCCUCACGGCCGCCGGGGGGCACCCGCCCCCGGGCCCGCGCCCGCCGAAGACACCAUUUAACGCUGUAUGAAGAUUGCAGUCUGAGCAUCUUAGCUAAAUCAGUUAAAACUUUCAACAACGGAUCUCUUGGUUCCG